AUCCCUUCCCGUAGAACUUCUGCAACGGAGAACCGCAAACCAUCGCCACCAGCGGCCUAACCCGGCGACGAUGUCCUAGGGAAGAACUCACUACCUCUUACUGGUAAGGCACCCUUGUCGCCAGUCCAAGAAGCAGAUCUAGGCGGGGAUGGUGUUGGCGUGCUGUGAUGGCUGACUCCACCUCCUUGAGCCGCCGCACCCAACUCAUCCCUUCCCGUAGAACUUCUCCAACGGAGAACCGCAAACCAUCGCCACCAGUGGCCUAACCUGGCAGCGACGUCCUAGGGAAGAACUCACUACCUCUUACCGGUAAGGCACCCUUGUCGCCAGUCCAAGAAGCAGAUCUAGGUGGGGAUGGCGAUGGCGUGCUGUGAUGGCUGACUCCACCUCCCGAUCGGAAGAACUCGCUAUCGGUAAAGGCUCUGUCACCCACCCAGGAAGCAAAUCUAGGCGGGGAUGGCGAUGGCGGGUUGUGACUCAGUCUUGUCGGCAGUCCAAGAAGCAGAUCUAGGCGGGGAUGGCGAUGGCGUACUGUGAUGGCUGACUCCACCUCCUGAUCGGAAGAACUCGCUAUCGGUAAAGGCUCUGUACCCGCCUAGGAAGCAGAUCUAGGCGGGGAUAGCGAUGUCGGGUUGUGACUCAGUCGUGUUGCUUUGUUCUAGAUCAGGAACUCGCUACCAGUAAAGCACCUUUGUGGCCCACCCAAGAAGCAGAUCUAGGCGGGGAUGGCGAUGGCGUGCUGAGGGUUGAAUCCAGCUCCCAAUCAAGGUAUCGGCUAUUCUUCCUC